CCUACGGGAGGCAGCAGUGGGGAAUCUUGGGCAUGGGGGCAACCCUGACCGAGCAACGCCGCGUGAGGGAAGAAGGUUUUCGGAUCGUAAACCUCUUCCUGGGAAGAGGAAGAGACGGU
rnacentral:rRNA from 1 species